CCUCACCAAGGAAAAGAGGAAAGAAAGAAAGAACAAAUCCCUAGUUAGAAAAUUCAAGAGAAAAUUUGUGGAUUUCAAGGAAUUAAGUAAGUAAAGGUAAAAUUUCUUGAUUUUAGCUUGUGAUCUACCUUUCCUAUGCAUUCUUUUUCAUUUUUCAUGGUUGAGAAUCAAGUUUGCAUAAGGAUACCUUUGCUGGCCGAACAUGAGGGGAGGAGUUUUGAUCUUGAAUUUAGCUAGAUUUCAUGUUAUUCUAGUAUAUUUAGUUGGUUGGUGAUGUGUAGCAUAAAAAGCAAAUAAGAAAAAUUCAUGUUCUUACAUCACCUUCAUUGGCCGAAUCUUCCUUAUGGUAUGUGGAUGGUGGAUUUUAUUUUAUUUCAAGUGAUUUGGUUAGGAAUUAAUGAUUUAUGGUGUAAAAAUCAAGUAUGGAAAAACCAUAGUGUUUAUGCACCCAUCAUGGUUGAAUUUUCCAAGAGAAAAUGUUGAGGAUGAUUUUGCUAUAAUUCAUGUUAUCUAGCUUAUAUUUGAUGAUUUGGAGUAUUGGAAGUGAAAUGAAUUUGUUUGGAGUUACUUUGGAUGUUUUGGUUAAAUCAAAGGUGAAGAGUUAGAAUUAGGUUGAAAACUGACCAUUCCGAUCAUCCUUGAACCAACGUGAAUUCCAUUUUUCAGUGACUAUCCAAACAACCACAUGCAUUCAUAUAAAGCCUGAAAUAGAUUUAUAAUUAUAUGACACAAUAUAUUGAAUUAUUUGUCGUGUAUUGUGUAUAAGUGGUGAGUCCUCUAACAAGGCAAAGACAUUGUGCUAGAGGACCAAGAACAGGAGUAUUUCGAACUCUCGAUAUUGAGAGUAACCUUAUUAUCAUCUUAAUUAUCUAAAGUAGUUUUUAUUCGUUUUUGUGAUUUUAUAGAAAAUUGAGUUUAAAUGGUAAAUCCAUAUGUUUUAUAAGUAAAAUGUGAUUAAAUGAAAUGAGUUUUAUAAAUCAUUUUGAAAUUGAAUGAUGAUUUUAGAAAUGGAGUAAUUGGAGACUGUUUGUUUGUGUUGUAAAUUUAUGGUUUGAAUUGAAUGGAUUAUGGUGAUAUUGGCUUGAAUGGUUGAAUUGGAAAUUAUGUUGAAUAUAUGAACUGUUUUGCUUUGCCUUGACAAGCUGGUAAUAUUAUAUUAGCCAUGUAAUACUGCUAAAAUUUUAUUGAUUUGGUGAGAUAUCGAUUAGCUGACUGCAGUGGACGGGAUUCUAUAGACUAGCCUGUUAGAGGGACACGGUAAACCCUGUUUCAUUUUAUUUUACCUUAGUACGAGAGGCGCAGAGGGUAUCUCCUGAGGUAAAGCUUCAGAGUUCACUUCACGCCGAACCACCACGUGAGAAUGAAUUCAGCCAACGUCAAGGAACGGUUGUGCUUUUAAACGUAAAAAUGUGUUUUAUGCGUAUAUGACUUUUUAAACAGCCUUGGCGAUCUCGAUUGGAUGCCUCUGAUCAAGGUAUCCCCGAGAAUGAGUUUUGGCACGAGCCAAGUUUUUAAGAGAUUCAUAAGCCUCAAUGUAUAUUUUGGAUGAAAUGUAACUGGUUUAGAUGAUUUGAAAUGUGUUUUGAGGUUAUGAACCAUUUUAUGAUGAUCUAUUUUAAAUUGUCUCCAUUUACUCGGCUUUAGAUAUUUUAGAUGAUGUUUGUUUACUCACUGAGUUUAUAUAAACUCACCACCCUCAUUUUCACUCAUUCCAAGCUCAGGAUAGUCAGUAGAUAGUUGAUUUCGUUGAGGGCUACAGUUGGAUUUGCAUCCUCAAAAACCGUAGGUUCACAUCCUUCGUUACUUUUGGUCAUUCGGGGGUCCACAUGUCAUUGUAAAUUAAGUUACACACUUUGGCUCACUGUGUUACUGUAUGUAUAAAUUUAUUUUGCUUUUACGCUAUAAAAAUUAUUUACGCGUAGUUUUAUAAAAA
rnacentral:lncRNA from 1 species